GUGGGGAAUAUUGCACAAUGGGCGGAAGCCUGAUGCAGCGACGCCGCGUGAGGGAUGACGGCCUUCGGGUUGUAAACCUCUUUCAGCAGGGACGAAGCGCAAGUGACGGUACCUGCAGAAGAAGCGCCGGCCAACUACGUGCCAGCAGCCGCGGUAAGACGUAGGGCGCGAGCGUUGUCCGGAUUUAUUGGGCGUAAAGAGCUCGUAGGCGGCUUGUCGCGUCGACCGUGAAAACUUGGGGCUCAACCCCAAGCCUGCGGUCGAUACGGGCAGGCUCGAGUUCGGUAGGGGAGACUGGAAUUCCUGGUGUAGCGGUGAAAUGCGCAGAUAUCAGGAGGAACACCGAUGGCGAAGGCAGGUCUCUGGGCCGAUACUGACGCUGAGGAGCGAAAGCGUGGGGAGCGAACAGGAUUAGAUACCCGAGUAGUCC
rnacentral:rRNA from 1 species